GGGCGUUCGGUGUAAUGGCUAACACACCUCAUUUGAGGAACUGGCGGUUCGAGUCCGUCAACGCCCACCA
rnacentral:tRNA from 1 species